CUAUCUUUUCUUUCAUUCUCCUCUCACUUUUCUACCUGGAUCUUCCACAUUGCAGGUAGACUACAAGUACAGGAUUUCUUCCAGAGUUCCUCCAUUCUGUCGCUCUAAGGUUCUUUACUACGCAGAAUCGAAUUCUCAUUAUUUCUUUCAGAGACAACAAGUCUAAUCUAAUCCAUUCCUGAACUAUAAAUAUGUAGUGCGUAUAUAUAUAUAUAUAUACAUAUGUAUAUAUAUACAUCAAUUUCUUAACCCGAUUGUUUAACAUUCUUUUUUCAAUACGCACUUCCUUCUUAAUUAACCUACCAAACGAUCGUUCCAGCCUUAUGAGUCUCCCACGCGCACCCAUUAAAUCGCUACGAUAUUCUCACCUAUGAAACGAAGGGCCCCGACUGACUUCGUGCAGUGAAAAGCGAUCGCUAUCCAUUACAUAGCCAUAUUGUACAUAACCGCUUAUUGACUCAAGAACAUUGGUACCGCGUUAUUUGCUACUAGGAGAUUAACCAUCCGCGGCUGAUAGUUUUAGUUAUAUCCUCUGUGUAUCCACCCUAAGACUCUAAUGAAGGCAGAUCUUAUUACCAAUGGAGUUAAAAACAAGCGGCCAUCAUGGAAAAAUUCGUCUUGUGUCUUAUCUGCGCAGGAGAUGAACCUCUGCUGGAUCAUGGAUAUCUAUAAACUUGCUGCAUCACAGGCGGACGGAAAUAUACACCGAAGGAAUUGAUUGAGCAUAUAUUUAUUAUGUUGUUAUGGCAUUCAGCCGACCUUGAGGAGCUAUUCAACAUUUUUUUUUUAAUACAAACAAUUAAUAAAUCAGAGAAGCAUCCUACUUCGUCAUGACUUUUAUUUAAAGACAUACGUCAUUAUGAUUAGAGUAGUACAUUUUGAAAAGGAAUACUUAACAAUGCCGAAAUCAGUGCGAAGCCUCGAAUUAAAUUACAAUUAGCAGACGGCUGUUGUCUGAAAUUAAUACUACGUCAGUCAGUUACUCGACGCGAGGGUCCGCGCGUGUGGUAGGCACUCUUCUGGUUCAGCUAGUGUAUAAUUCGACAGAGAAGGAUUGAUAAUCAAGAAAGAGACGGAGAAAAUAUAUGAAAAAACGAAAGACUGCGCCAGUGUCUGCUAGAAAAACUGAGAAGAUAAAAUAAAUGUGCUUCGAAUUCUCUCGCUACGACAUAACAAUAUUCCGAGGCUGCUUAUCACGAUGCACUGGAAGUGCUACGAAAAAUCUUGUAUCUCUGUCAGAUUCAUUAUCGAAAAAGGAGACACGAUCGUGUACAGUGCUUACAGUAGUUGAAGUAGAUGCCUAAAGCACAGCUUGAGUAAUGUUUUGAUCUACGUAGUACGAAUUAAUUCUAAUACGUAAUUUUCAUACCGUUUGUCUUAUAACUGUCUGAUAUGUUAAGUAUAACGAAGAGAGUACGUCAAAUUUGAAAUUAUCCAACAGGCGAGUGUUUUCAAGAAAUUAUUAUCCAUACGCAGUGCAUUAAUGUAUCCAUACGAAAUAUUCGAAACGCCGAGAAUGCCAGGAAUUCGAAAACAGUUAGUGGAAUCUUAAUGACGGGGGUUCCUCGCCUUAUCAGUGAAAAACAUUAUGUUUCCAAGAUCUGACAUAAGGAUUUCGUAAUUAAAACUCAGUAGCGUUAUCCCAAUGUAUAUCAGCACUUAGAAACCUUCCAGGAAGAGGAGAAAGAUUACGUAUGAAUUUUAGUUGAAAGAGAACGAGGCUCUUGCACUUUUAUUAUGUUUAGCUUACAAAGUCACACGCGUCACGUCAUAGAGUUUCAUAUGAAAAUACCGAUAACGAACAUAUCCACGUUAUAACUUUGUAUAAUACUCCUCAAGAAGGCAUUUCAAUCCUCAAAACCUCAUUCAGUCUCACCAGUACGAAUUAGUGAUACGGAUAAAUAUUUCUACAGCUCACAAAAUCAUCAACAAUGUACAAUGAUGCAAGAGAACAAAUAAAUAAGAUAUCUGAAUGUUAACGAACAUACAAUUUAAACCAUCACCCACGAGAUAACUGAAUUAUGUUCGUUUAACGUACUCAAGACUGUCGCACUUAAUCCUUAUAUUUCUUUUCAACGCCUAAAUUAUCAGUAUACAUAGUAACAAGUGGCGCGUAUGUACAUUCCAUGGGAAUAUAAAAAUUAUUUCUAUCCAAUUGGCUACAGUAAAUUACCAUCUCCUCUUAUUAAACAUCCAUUAAAUUUAACAUAACUCCCAAGGAGGAAUCGCAUAACUAUAUUUGUCAAACAAGUUGGCACUAUUGAAUUCUUCUUCACACGUUUGUAAGAAAACUUACAAUUAGUAAAAUCCAUUGCGUGAGUUCUCCGUCGGCCAGUUACGAAGUUGUGGCGUGAGAAAUUAUCACGUGACUUUAUAUCCCAUAUUAUGUAUACGUAUAUAUAUAUAUGCAGGGUGACAAGAAAUUAUUAAAAAAAAACUUCCAGAAGAGGAGAACGACCCAGGAUCAGAACGAAGCACUGGUUGUAGAGGAAGAGGAAAGAUCGUGUACUAUACGUAUAUGGACGUAUAUCAAAUUGCGUGGCUGCUACCAGAGGAUAUGAGUAUGCUGCAGAAGAAUUUCUACACUCAUUAAGGAAUCCGCGUGACCCCGGAUUGACGCCAGGUGACAAAACUAUUGUAAGAC